rnacentral:tRNA from 1 species
GGCCGGGAGAGGGGGCUGGUGCUCCCCCGGGGCUGCAAACCCUGUGGGCACCCAGAAUAGGGGUAGCUGGCCGGUUCGAUUCCGACCCCGGCC